CUUUCAUUUCCUUAAACAAGGUUUAAGUGAGACUGACAUAAAAACAAAGAAACAAAACAUGUUAGGACCAUAAGUAAAACAGUGUAUUUAAGUAAUAUAAGCUAGUAUCACUGUCUUUAAAAAACCCAAAAUACGUAUUUUUCAAUUUCAAUUUUAUGCUACUAGUGUCAGAUGCUGUAUUACUUGGGAUGUUAUAGAGAGAUUUGUAUAUCUAGUCCCACCCCUCUCUGAGUUAACAAUUUAAGUUGGAUCAGGAGACACAGAGAGGGAAAAAGAGAGGGAGAAAGAGAGAGGUGUGUGUGCGUGUGUGUGUUAUCAUAUGUACCAACAGUGGAGUUGAGAAAUUGAGAGAUCAGAAAAUUAAGUUCCAUCUUUAAACUAAAAGGGAAUCUGUCUAAUGAGAGAUGAAUGAAGCCCCCAAUUGCUUUUUUUUAAAUGAAUAUUACUCAUUUUAUUUUUCCUCUGUUAUUUUAUUCUCUCUUUAUUGUCUAUCCCUCUCAUUUCUUUCUUCUUAUUUUAUGUAGAUACACAGCAGGGGAUCAGUGUAUUCUUCCCAAAGUUUACUUUCACAAAAAGUAAAUAAAAAUUUGAAAAGUAAACAGAUCAUCAGAUUAGAAUUUAAGGGUUGUUAAAAUACUUCAAAGACUACUUAUAUGGAAAGUUUAAAGAAUAUAUAUUGUUUAUCAGAGAUGGAAAAGAUGACGAGUAACUCCAUUCUAUGCGUACUUCAUUUUAGGUCAAUGGCGAACAUUUUCUACACUUUAAUGGCAGCAUAACAAAGAAGACAUCUAAGGAAUUUUACUCAUCAGUGUGGAGUAAUGGGCAGGCGUAUUGAAAUGGUCUCUGGAGUAAUGAGCAGGCAUAUUGAAAUGGUCUCUUUUUAUUUUUUUAAUAUGAACACUCAACUUGUGCCUUUUUUUCUUUCUUGUCUUUGUAAAUAUAGAUACUUGCAGGGGCCUUCCUUUUUGCUAUUUCCCUCCCAUUUUCCCCUUCACACUAUCUUCUUUCCUUAGUUUUUCCUUCUUUCUAUUCUGGGAAAUGAGGAUUUGACAAAUGAAAUAUGAAAAUAUAGUUUUUGAAGAAAGAACAACUGUUCUUCUUCAACCAAGAAUAAAUCAAGUUUUCGGUUUGGGGGUUGGCAGGGGGUUAGCUGACCAUGUAAUGCUGAUGGGCAAGGUCAGGGGGAGACUAACCCUGGAGAGUUGCCCCUGAGAGAGAAACCACUUCUCAGUGGCCACAUGAUGAGUAAGUAAGGGAAACUCCUCAGGUUCCCAGAAGUCUAUCUGAGCACAGCACUCAUCAGCCAAAAGCCCUUUGGUGAGUAGCAGUAUGGCUUCACUCUCUUCUAUAGACGGUGACUAGAUCUUCUCUCUCUCUCACUCUUUCUCUCUCUCUCCCCCGCCCUCUACUGCUUUUCUUUUUUAAAUUUUCUUUCUCUCUGACCUAAACUGAUGCCUAGGUGAAAGCUUGACUCUCUUGUACCACAUUUAUUCUGCUAUCUCAUACUUUUAGUCAUAAAGUCACCUUUGUGUGGUGUUCAGCAGAAAAACAGCAAGAUUGAUCCAAGUAAAUUAGAAUGUCCAGAGUUCACUGCUGAGAAAUUUAAAUUAUUACUUUCAUAUAGAGUUAAAAGAAUAAACUGCUGAGGAACUUUGACAUCUCUUCUUAUGUAAUUUUUUCAACAUUAGAAAGUGAACUUGUACAUGAAAGUAUAAAUUCGACAACUCCCAGACUUCCUUUAACUCUAUGAUUUCAUGGACACGGAUUUGAUAUGGACAGGAGGCAGGGAAAUCCUGGGUAGAAGUGGGCAGGGUCCCUGGCGAGGGUUCCACCUCAAGACCCUAAAUGAGAACUUCACACCCCUGUUUUCCUGCCCAAAGGUUGCCUUUGGACCCUCCACAUACCCCACCCUGUAAACAUACAAACCCCAAGUUCCACUGGCAGAGAAGCAGAGUAGCAUGGCAGAGAAGGAGAGAAGAGAAGAAGCAUAUGAAUAUUGAAAGGAGAAGAGGCAACUUAACACCAGAGACUACAGUCAGAAAGGAGUUCCUCCAGGGAUGGUCAGAGAAGAUUUCGUCCAGGGAUGGCUGAACUCCAGGGGAAGAUUAUCUUCCCACUCCAUCCCCUUUCCAGCUCCCCAACCUGCUGAGAGCCACUUCCACAGCUCAAUAAAUCUCUGCAUUCACCAUCUUUCAGGUUCAUGUGACCUGAUUCUUCCUGGAUGCUAGACAAGAACCCGGUUACCAGAGGGCAUGGAGUGAAAGGAUGUCACCCUAGCCCUCCACUCAACUGGUUAACACUUAGCUGUCCAUAGACAGAAAAUGCUAAAAAGCAUUGUUUGUAACACUUGCCUUCUGGGGCUUCAGAGGUCAUGUGCAACCCCUGGAUGCUGCCACAGGCUGGUACAAGGUAUGUUUCUGCUGUCGCCCGAAGGCAUUCGCCCCAGCUCCUCCACCUGCUCAACUGUAUGCUCACCCUUCCACAAGGGGUUUGAGCCACCGCUGUCUCAAGUCCCUCAAGGGCGUCAAGGGAACUCUCACAUCUCAGAUUCUAAAUUAAUACCACUCAACAGAAAAUUUCAACAAUAUAGGAUUCAUCUACCAUGAAGCAUGUAUCUGUAAUGAAUAUGAAAUAGUUGAGAUUGCCUGAGUGGCCACUUUCUCACAUGCUUCCAAAAAAUUUUGUAUGCUUUUAAACUUCAAAAUAAUUAUGAUGCUACUUCCUCAUUUUUCUAGCAAAUUCUUGGAUGAUAUUUAUGUCCUUUUACAUUUGAAAGUUAUAACCACAGACUUGAGAUAAACGAAUAAGAUAGUGCAUCUAGUUGUAAGCCUAUAUAAAAGUACAUUAUAAACGACAGGGAAGAUAUUUGAGUAGAUAAGGGCAAGCCUGGAAAGAAGGACAUUUAAGCUUUCAUCCCAAUUUGACCAUCAAUUAUAGAGACAUACGCAACUUUGAAAUUGCUUUCCUUGAUAGUGAAAUAAUAGAUACACUGCAAAUGUCUAUAUAUUUGACAUAUUAUUUAAUUUAUAAAAUAUCUUUUGAUAUCUUUGAAACUG
rnacentral:lncRNA from 1 species